rnacentral:rRNA from 1 species
UAGGGAAUCUUCGGCAAUGGACGAAAGUCUGACCGAGCAACGCCGCGUGAGUGAAGAAGGUUUUCGGAUCGUAAAACUCUGUUGUUAGAGAAGAACCAGGACGUUAGUAACUGAACGUCCCCUGACGGUAUCUAACCAGAAAGCCACGGCUAACUACGUGCCAGCAGCCGCGGUAAUACGUAGGUGGCAAGCGUUGUCCGGAUUUAUUGGGCGUAAAGCGAGCGCAGGCGGUUUCUUAAGUCUGAUGUGAAAGCCCCCGGCUCAACCGGGGAGGGUCAUUGGAAACUGGGAGACUUGAGUGCAGAAGAGGAGAGUGGAAUUCCAUGUGUAGCGGUGAAAUGCGUAGAUAUAUGGAGGAACACCAGUGGCGAAGGCGGCUCUCUGGUCUGUAACUGACGCUGAGGCUCGAAAGCGUGGGGAGCAAACAGG